GGGGGCAUAGCUCAGCUGGGAGAGCGUUUGACUGGCAGUCAAAAGGUCAGGAGUUCGAUCCUCCUUGUCUCCACCA
rnacentral:tRNA from 3 species